UAGUCAAUUGUUAUUAUUCAUAUUAAU
rnacentral:rRNA from 1 species